rnacentral:misc_RNA from 1 species
GAACGCACAUUGCGCCCAUUAGUAUUCUAGUGGGCAUGCCUGUUCGAGCGUCAUUAAGUCCACUUAAGCCUUGCUUAGUAUUGGGAAUCUACCGAAGCUACCCUGUAGCUACCCUGUAGUUCCUUAAAGACAUCGGCGGAGUUGUUAUAUCUCUGAGCUUAGUAAAUAUUCAAAGCUUCUGGGCCAUCACAUCCCCUGCCGUUAAACCUUCUGCUUGCAGAAUUUUAAUGGUUGACCUCGGAUCAGGUAGGAAUACCCGCUGAACUUAAG